GAAGAAUGUCACGUAUCUGGUCGCAUUAGCCGUAAUCCGCCGUGUAUUUCUUAACUGCGUGUGUAAAGUGAGAAGAAACGUUUUUACGGAAUUUCGCACGUACCAGUCGGCGCCGCUAAUCGAAGACGGAAGUGACAUUUCGCGAAGGGGAAAGCCGGAAGUUCGGCCGCCGCGAGGUCGCGUGAGUAGGAAGCGAGAUUUCACGGCGGCGCAAUGUCAAAUGCCGAUUGAAAUUGCUCCCGAGGAACCGCGAUCUCUUUCGCGGUAAGGUAAAUAAAUAACGAUAUGAGAUAUGUAUCGGCCUGUUCAGAUAAACGAAUGAUUUAUCGGGGGAAAGUCUGUCUUGAUUCUUGAUCGCACCAAUGUAUUUUGAAGACCAACAAGAUCUUCUUAUCGAAUGACAAAAAGAAAUUUACAGCGUGAUAUCGUUUUAAUCGACAGAUCGCGACUUUCCUUUGCGAAAACGCGAAAGCUCAAUGUAACUGAUACCGAUUAACUGAUACCGAUAUAUCAAUCACGCGGGAAGACUUGGCCGCUUUAUUAUCGUAGAUAUAAUCGAGCGUGCGCGGCGGCCGGAGCAGCCUGACUCGUGGCCAAUUAGGGAGUGUCGUGGUACGCAUCGUAAUAUACGGGCCUAUGAGGGUAAAAACCCCCGAGGAUAAAGUACCCUCUUCGGCAAACCUCCCGGCAACCCUCCGGCAACCCUCCGGCUGAUACCUUUGGCGUCUCUGCGUCGUGCACAGAUACCUGCGUAGAUCUCGGAUCGAUAGAUCGGUGCAGAAAUCGUUCCGAGAAUCGCAAAGGCCAAGGCAACGGCAGGCAGAAAAGCAGGAUAACGAGAACAGACUGUACUGCUAGAUAAAUAAACGCUACAUACGCCGAUGUCUUUGCUCCACACCACGG